rnacentral:rRNA from 1 species
AGUGAACGCUGGCGGUAGGCCUAACACAUGCAAGUCGAACGGCAGCACAGUAAGAGCUUGCUCUUACGGGUGGCGAGUGGCGGACGGGUGAGGAAUACAUCGGAAUCUACUUUUUCGUGGGGGAUAACGUAGGGAAACUUACGCUAAUACCGCAUACGACCUACGGGUGAAAGCAGGGGAUCUUCGGACCUUGCGCGAUUGAAUGAGCCGAUGUCGGAGUAGCUAGUUGGCGGGGUGAAGGCCCACCAAGGCGACGAUCCGUAGCUGGUCUGAGAGGAUGAUCAGCCACACUGGAGCUGAGACACGGUCCAGACUCCUACGGGAGGCAGCAGUGGGGAAUAUUGGACAAUGGGCGCAAGCCUGAUCCAGCCAUACCGCGUGGGUGAAGAAGGCCUUCGGGUUGUAAAGCCCUUUUGUUGGGAAAGAAAAGCAGCAGGUUAAUACCCCGCUGUUCUGACGGUACCCAAAGAAUAAGCACCGGCUAACUUCGUG